ACGGAGGGUGCAAGCGUUAUCCGGAAUUAUUGGGUUUAAAGGGUCCGUAGGCGGACCUUUAAGUCAGUGGUGAAAUCCUUCGGCUCAACCGGAGAACUGCCAUUGAAACUGAAGGUCUUGAAUAUAGUUGAAGUGGGCGGAAUAUGGCAUGUAGCGGUGAAAUGCUUAGAUAUGCCAUAGAACACCGAUAGCGAAGGCAGCUCACUAAGUUAUUAUUGACGCUAAUGGACGAAAGCGUGGGGAGCGAACAGG
rnacentral:rRNA from 1 species